UAAGGUAAAAGAAAUAUCUUUGCUCUCCAGACCAUGUGGGCUUCAAAACAGCAGCUUUCACCAGGAACCUCCUCCAGAUAGUAAGACUCAGACAGUAAGAGUCUAUAGGAAGUGCAGAUAGUAAAAGUCUAUAAUAAGUGAAAGGGCACUCUGAUGUAGUCUUUUGCCCAUCACAUUAGUGUGCUGCCUAGGCUGUACAGACCUUCAGACAUUUCCCAUGUUGUGGACCAAUUCUGAGUGUGAGGAGUGGCAAGACAACAUGUUGGAACAAUAAUCAGCUGGGACUGGACCCAUGGCACUCAAGGUAGGCCUGGAGGUGAAGUUGGACGAUCCAAACUUGAAAUCUGCGUGCUGUUAAUAGGUCUAAAUCGAUCCUCUUUAGGGAAACUCAGAGAGAUCCCAGUCCAAGCUGAAAGAACAGGAGAAGGUGGGUAUGGCCUGCACAGAAAAGCCCUAUCCAAGGCCCAUAUGUACCAGUCCUCAGGCCCAAGGUGCAGUGCUGCAUCUCUGGUCAACUGGGAGUCUGAGAUGAAGCACUGUAGCUCGGGAAUGGGGGCAUUGCUACAGCUAAAAGAUAUCAGUGUUACAGUAAAAUUUUAAAACUUUGUAAGAGUAAAAGUCAUUGUAUUUCUAUGUAUAUGCCCUCUCAUCCCUGCCCCCGGGGUCCAGUUUUCCCAGGAAUCCCUUCGACAGUCACAAGGGGAUUCCUGGAAAUACUGUUCUUGGGGGUGGGGUGUGACACUGUGAAUGUAUUACACAAAAUGACAGAUUCAGUUAAAAUGUGUAGUUUAAUACAGUGUUCAUUCAUUGUUUGUUGUUGUUGUAAAAUUCAUAUCUUACAGGUUCCUUUGUAAAAAUAAGCCACCUGUCAUUUUCCCAAACUAAUGCUAUGCAUGAUUCAACACAUAAAUGUGUCGAAGGAUCCAUGGUUCCAGUUAACAUCAACAUCUAAAUUUCUGCAUAAAUCACUGCCUGUUUUUCUUACUGCCUUGCACAAAAUUAAAAUCCCUGCAAUCAUUGAGUGGUAUAUAACAUUAUCCUAAAUAAAUAGCGCCACCUGUUGUCUAUCACAAAAUCUUUAUCAAAUGCUUUAUACACUAAAAGGCAGAGUUGAGCCUCAAGUGUGGCAGAUCUCACAAACAUACUGUCAUGGACUAUGCACCAAAGAGCACUAUAUCGGCCAUAUGGAAAAGAUUUAUUGCAAUUUUAUACUCUUUUUGUAGGUUAUACCUGAAACAUUUCCAGUCAGGCAUCAAAUCCACUGCUGAAUUUUGUAUCAAAGGACAGGAAGGUGUCUAUAAUUAAAAGUUUAGCAUGUAUCUUAUAUGUACCAAAUAAAAUAACAAAUACCUAAUAUUUUUGUACAGGUGAAUUUAGAUUUUAGAAUUUAGGCAAUAAAACAAA